CACGUAGGGGGCAAGCGUUGUCCGGAUUUAUUGGGCGUAAAGAGCUCGUAGGCGGUGUGUCGCGUCGGCCGUGAAAACCUGCAGCUUAACUGUGGGCUUGCGGUCGAUACGGGCAUCACUGGAGUUCGGCAGGGGAGACUGGAAUUCCUGGUGUAGCGGUGAAAUGCGCAGAUAUCAGGAGGAACACCGGUGGCGAAGGCGGGUCUCUGGGACGUGACUGACGCUCAGGCUCGAAAGUAUGGGGAGCAAAAAGG
rnacentral:rRNA from 1 species